rnacentral:rRNA from 1 species
AGAGUUUGAUCCUGGCUCAGGACGAACGCUGGAGGCACGCUUAAAACAUGCAAGUCGAACGAGAAGCUUUGGUGCUUGCACCGAAGUGGGAAGUGGCGAACGGGUGAGUAACACAUGAGAAACCUGCCCCGAAGAUUGGGAUAAGCCUUGGAAACGAGGUCUAAUACCGAAUACCUUCUAAUUAUCACAUGGUAAAUAGAAGAAAGCUCAGGCGCUUUGGGAUGGUCUCGUGGCCUAUCAGCUUGUUGGUGAGGUAAAAGCUCACCAAGGCAACGACGGGUAGCUGGUCUGAGAGGAUGUCCAGCCACAUUGGAACUGAGAUACGGUCCAAACUCCUACGGGAGGCAGCAGUUAGGAAUCUUGCACAAUGGGGGAAACCCUGAUGCAGCGAUGCCUCGUGCGGGAUGAAGGCCUUAGGGUUGUAAACCGCUUUCAGUUGGGAAGAAAGUGACGGUACCAACAGAAGAAGCCCCGGCCAACUAUGUGCCAGCAGCCGCGGCGAUACAUAGGGGGCGAGCGUUGUCCGGAUUUACUGGGCGUAAAGAGCUCGUAGGCGGUUUAAUAAGUCGACAAGUGAAAUCUCCAGGCUCAACCUGGAGCAGCCUUGCGAUACUAUUAUGACUUGAGUGUGGUAGAGGAGUGUGGAAUUCCCAGUGUAGCGGUGAAAUGCGCAGAUAUUGGGAGGAACACCUAUGGCGAAGGCAGCACUCUGGGCCAUUACUGACGCUGAGGAGCGAAAGCGUGGGGAGCGAACAGGAUUAGAUACCCUGGUAGUCCACGCCGUAAACGUUGGGCACUAGGUGUGGGGUCUAUUCAACGGACUCCGUGCCGUAGCUAACGCAUUAAGUGCCCCGCCUGGGGAGUACGGCCGCAAGGCUAAAACUCAAAGGAAUUGACGGGGGCCCG